AAAGUGGUUCUUUUAAGAACCACUUUCAUAGACUCAGGUAAAAAUCUG
rfam:Erysipelothrix larvae strain LV19 chromosome, complete genome.